GGAGAGAUGGCCGAGCUGGCUUAAGGCGCUCGCCUGCUAAGCGAGUAUAGGGUUAAUAGCUCUAUCGUGGGUUCGAAUCCCACUCUCUCCGCCA
rnacentral:tRNA from 1 species